rnacentral:lncRNA from 1 species
GAUACACCCAUGCUUGGACAUCUCAUGGAGUAGGACUCUCUUAUUCAUCUCUGCAUUCCCAUGGCUUCAUGCUACGUAUGAACACAGGUUUUAGCCUCACAAAUCCGAAUAUGGGGAUCAAUCGGGAUUCAUGAUCCAAGUAAUGUUUUAGGUGUUGAGGUCCAAGACACCCAGGAGAGCAAGCAGCUUAAGGGAAGUCUAAAUGGCAGAGAGGAAGCUAACUCUUCACCACCUUGGCUUUCCCUGCUCAAGGGACUUUGGGGCAGUAACUGAGAAGCGCGAUGAAGAAUAAAUUUGGAAUUAUAGCCAGUUCCUUAACACUAUCUUGUUUGAUGGACUCUCUCCCCUUAACCGCUUUAUCAAAUGCUUCACCAAUGUUCUCAAAGGGCGCCAUGAUUUAUCACAGCUCAACCAACAUAUCCAAAUGGGAUGUUCCAGUGGUUGUAUAAAUUAAAGUUCCUUCGGAAUUCUAGAUCAACUGAAAUAGACUAAGAUUGCCUUUUCUAUAAGAUUGUGGCUCUACACAAUCGAAUCUCCACGAGCAACUUAU